rnacentral:rRNA from 1 species
GUUAGGAAUAUUGGACAAUGGGCGAAAGCCUGAUCCAGCCAUGCCGCGUGAACGAUGAAGGCCUUCGGGUUGUAAAGUUCUUUAGCCGAUGAUUAUAAUGACUGUAGUCGGAAAAUAAGCCCCGGCUAACUUCGUGCCAGCAGCCGCGGUAAUACGAAGGGGGCGAGCGUUAUUCGGAAUCACUGGGCGUAAAGCGUGCGUAGGCGGUUUUGUAAGUUAGGAGUGAAAGCCCAGGGCUCAACCUUGGAAUUGCUCUUAAAACUGCAAGGCUCGAAGCUCGGAGAGGAUAGCGGAAUUUCCAGUGUAGCAGUGAAAUGCGUAGAUAUUGGAAGGAACACCAGUGGCGUAAGCGGCUAUCUGGACCGAUAUUGACGCUGAGGCACGAAAGCGUGGGGAGCAAACAGGAUUAGAAACCCGAGUAGUCC